UACGGAGGGUGCAAGCGUUAAUCGGAUUUAUUGGGCGUAAAGGGCGCGUAGGCGGGUAUAAAAGUCAGGUGUGAAAUUCCGAAGCUUAACUUCGGAGCUGCAUUUGAAACUUUAUGUCUUGAGGGUAGGCGGAGAAAAUGGAAUUCCACAAGUAGCGGUGAAAUGCGUAGAUAUGUGGAGGAACACCAGUGGCGAAGGCGAUUUUCUAGCUUAUUCCUGACGCUGAGGCGCGAAAGCAAGGGGAGCAAAC
rnacentral:rRNA from 1 species